AUUGACUAGUACGGAUUUUGAUUUUUCAAACCUUGUGGAUGGCCGGAAAAAAAUGUAUUUUCUCAAUCCAACCCCACCACGAAGUCAAAGAAGACCGGAAAGUUCAUCACGUCUAGAGGAAACGUACAGCCUGAAAUGGAUAUUUUUGAUCUCUGCUUAUGACACUUAAAAGAUUAAGAGACACUCAUAGCGAUGAUGGGCCUCACUAUGUGCUUGUUGGAAGAAUGUGGGAACCCUCUCUAGGAAAAGACAAGAUGAAGUUGUCUUCCUCUCCGACUUUGCUGCAGUGUCUGAGCUCUCCAGGACCUGUGCGCUCUUUCUCAAGGUUCGCUACCCUGGCGGGAGAAGAAAAGCUCCCGAGCUAGGAUGGCCUGGGCUUGGCUGGCCAGCCGCUGUUCCUCCUUCGCCAUCCUGAAGAGAGCCGACAGCCAGAGCGAGGAGCCGGGGAGCCAAGCCGAGCAGAGCAGAGCUAUAAGCAUCUGGAGGACUGAGACACAAGGCCAGUGACCUACUGACAGUGGGUAUUCAUGACUGGUUGUUCAAACAGACAAUUUGAAGGAAAAAUGAUAAAUCAUCGGUCCAUGAGCUGAAAGUUGACAUGAAAAUAUCUUGGUAACCCCUGAUGUCAGUCAGGUCCAGAUGAGGAUAGUUUGAGCUAUGAAGACAUUUCUGAUGGGCAUAACUGGUCCUGAAGACUGAGUUGCCAGCUUAAGUUCUUCAGCAGAGCUAUGUCCCCUCUUGGAUGCAGAUGGUUUCUUUGGGAAGAAGAAAAUUUGGAAUGAUAUUCCUUAAAAAACCGAAUAUUUGCCUGAAAGGACUCUAUAUUCUUUUUUUCUUUCCUUUUUCCUUACAUUUUAUCUUAGAAUUGAUACUAUAUAUUGACUCUAAGGCAGAAAAGAGGUAAAGGCUAAGCCAAAAGGGGUAAGUGAGCUGCUCAGAGUCACGCAAUCAGGAAGUGUCUGAUGCCAGAUUUGAACCCAGGUCCUCCCAACUCCAAUCCUAGCAUUCUAUCCACUGUCCUACCCAGCUGCUCCUUCUGUAGACUUAUUUCUCUGAUGAGGGUCACAAGAGAUAACAAAUGGUCUUUGCCAUUUUUUCAUAUAAACAUGCCUUAAACAAGCUAAUUGACCUGGAAGCAUGAACUUGGGGGUAAUAUCAAUAUGCCAAACUGUAAAUCACCCCCACCCCACACACCCCACAUUUGCUGGAUAGAAAUAGAUGGAGAGGGAGGGGAAAUUAAUUCACUGAGCUUUUCCUUGAUCAGCUUUUUGUUGCCUUAUUUUUUUUUUGACUGGAUGGUUAUUUUUUGGAUGUCAAUUGAUUUUUGCCAGUCUUUGUGGAAAUCAUGCCAUUUUGGCUGGAUGCUUAGGACCCUCUUCACAGGCACCACAAACAAAAAAGACUGCCCUUUAUUAAUUACCAAGUUAACAGAGAGCAGUAGAGUACUGGCAUGUGGUAGACACUUAGUAAAUGCUUGUCAGUUGAUUGGUUGGUUAACUGAUUAGCAAGGCUAGGCUACUUGGAGGUACAAUUCAAAAGCAAGAUUCCUCCAAGGACUCUGGAAAAUUCUGCCAUUAAGUCUAAAAACAAUGAUAACAAACUCAUUUGGAAUUAGUCACUAUAAAAGGUGAGAAAGAGAAGAAAUCUCUAAAAUUGAUGGCACCACAUUUAUAUAAAAAAUGCAACAAAUGCAUUAUAAGUAUACAUUGUUUCUCUGGUGAACGACCUAUUGAAAACCUCAAGAUUGGACAAAACCUUGAGAAACUAUUCGAUCUAUUUUUCUGUUUCUUAAAUGGAUUGAUUAAGUGCCCAUUAUGUUAUAUGCUAAGGCACUGGCAAUACAAAAAGAAGCCCUAAUGAGUCGAAGAGAAGGCAUUCUCUAGGUACAUUUUAUAGUGUUUUAAAAAUACCAUUUCUUCCAAAUUCUUCCCGACAUCCAGGAUAUAAAAAGGUUGGUUUUUAGACUCCUAAUAAUAAUAAAACAGUUGAGCAUAUACAUCAAUACACUCACAAAUACCCAUAAAUUUUAGCAUCUAUGACCAUAUUAUCAAGGUCAGACAGAAUAGAAGUAAAAUUUCAUCCUUAAGAAAGGAUGAGAUAAAGAUAAAAUGGCAUUUGAUCUUGGAGUCACUAAGGAUGACCUGGAGCUUAUUGAGUAUAGGAGGGGAGUUAUGGAGUCAGAUCUUUGCAUUAGGAAAAUUGCCUUGAGAGAAGAUGAAUUGGAAUCAAGGAUAAUCUUGAAUUAAGAGGACUGAUUAGGAUCCUAUUAUAAUAAUCCAAAUGAGAGGUGAUGAGGACAUGAACUAGAGUGGUGCCUGUGUGAGUAGAAAGAAAGAAUUAUAUAGAAAAGGUGUUGUGAAGGUAGAAACAAUAAGAUUUGAGAUAUGUUUAUGAGUGCACAUGAGGAGUCAAAGAUGACAUCAACAUUGGGAGCCUACAUAACUGGAGGUGUAUGGUGCCGUUGACAGUAAUAGAUAAAUUUGGGAGAAAGGUAGGUUUGGGAGCAAGAUUAUUGUAAGAAAAUCUAUAAUGCAGAUAAUAAUCCAUCCUUCUCUGUCCAUGAAAAAUAAAAGGAAUAAAUCAGUGCUUAUACUCAGUAGCCUCAGCCCAGGGCACAGAACCAGAUAAGGGGAACUUGGAUGGGAGGGGGAUUGGACAUACUCAGGUCAGAAAUUAAUCCAGUGGCUGAUAUAGGUGUCCUGCUUGUGGUUAGGUAAUAACUGCCUGAGGUUCCUAUUCCUGGAACAGAAUGGGAGAGAGAGAUAGACUUUGCGCAGAUGCAGGUGAGACUAAAUGAAUUGUUUUGAAUAAUAAUGGCUAAAAAGAUGGAGUAGCUGUAUUGGAGACAAGUCCAACAAUGGUAUGGAAUGGAGGGUGUGAUGCAUCCUCUCUUUCCACCUUCUAAUUUGUUGGCCAGGUACUCCUUGAGGUCACUAAUAGCCUUCACUUUGAAGACUGCUGGUAUAGUAGAUGAAAUGAGGGACUUGGAUUUAGGGAGCCCGGGGAGUUGAGGAUUUAAGGAUUUCCUAUGUUAGCUUUGUAUGAUCAAACACAAAUUCCUCAACUUUUAUGAACUUCUAACCUCCAGUUAAUUUUUAGCUUCAGCUAAGACUUACCUAUCAAUUUAUAGAUGGGUUUUAAACCAUAUAUAUGACUUGCCAAGGAAAUCACAAUUAAUGAUCACUGGAGACUAAAUACUUCAUGCUAAGUUUAAGAUCUGAUUUUGUUCUUGUCAAAAAUAGGAAAACACUAUAAUCAUUUUUUCCUUUUCUUCUCUUGGAUAAAUAUCACCAAUUAUUUGUCAUCAAAUUUUUUAACGACUGACUUCUCAACUCUUUCCUUCAAUAGAGAAAUGUUUUCCUAUUAUCAAAUAUGAUCAAAGUUUGUAGUGAUUCUGCCAUGUUCAGUGAUUUUCCUCAUCCAAUUUAACACCUUGAAGAAGUUUCUUAUGUUAGCUUAAUGCAUUCUGAUACCAAGCUCACUCUCUCUUGUUUAAUGUGUAAACUUAAUGAACAUAUUUUUGCUGUGGCAUUUUCUAGGUAACCUAUUUAUCUACCAUUUCUUUCCUUUCCCAUAGUUUUCCCAUGAAUUAAAAGAGAAUUUGGCACACAAUAUUUACUUCUAAUUUGUGUCCAAGAAGUAUAAUUAUUGAUAGGUUGAUAAAUAUGCAUCAGAUUCAUAUCCCUUUUAACUUGAUGGAAACAGGUUAGAGAGAAUGAAGAUCUAAUUUACAGAUUAAAAUAGUGGCUUUAAUAGAAAGCAAAGCUGGCGAGGAUUUGAUUAAACUGAUCAGAGGAAUAGAAAUUGGAUUUAAAGGUGGUUGACUGACUUAUGAAUACUCCAAACACCUUAAAAAACAUCCUUAAAGUACCAAAAUUUCAAAUGAGAUUUAGAUACGGGCUGAUUAUUUUUUUCCUGCAGAUAGUGUGUGUGUGUGUGUGUGUGUGUGUGUACACGUGUGUACAAUGGUACAGCCCUCAUUAUUUAAUUGAGCAACUUCUAUAAUGUACUUUAUGAUUAUUUUCAUGGUCUAUCCCAAGUCUCAGAGUCAAUUAUGUUGGAAAAAUUAAUGCUGGGGGCUAAGAAGAAAUGAAGGUUUUUCUCCUGUGAUCAUGUUUGCAUGUUUGUAUUACAUGGUAAAUGCAAUGCUAAUUACCUCCUCCACACAGGUGUGCUGGAUUCUUAGUGAAAACCUGAACCAGAAACCUUUUAAAGGGGUUACAUUUGUUGGGAAAGACUCAACACCAAAUUAAAUAUGGCAGCCUAAGUUUUACCAUCUUUCUUCAGGCAAACUCCUACUGACUUGUUGGGUAUUUAGACAUGCAGGUACCUGAAAAGGCUUCUUUUAUGAACAUGUGCUAGCAAGAAACUUUCCCCCAUGUAGGCAAGAUCUCAAAUAACCCCUGCACAUGGGUGUGAUCUAGGUUAAGGCCUCAUGACCCAUGUAAAUAAAUGUUGCUUCAAAGGACCAUUGACUAGUCAGAUGGUUACUGGUGUUUAAUGGCAGGCAAGAAGCUUUUAUCUUGUGAAGAAGGUCACAAAUGUUUAAUGAAUGGACAAAUGUGAAGUGUACAAGGGUCUGCCUAAUUGACAAGCUAUGUGAAUCAGUCACUAAUUCAAAAAUGUUAUUGAACAUUUCAAUGUAAAUGGAAAGUCAGAUUGCAAAAGCAGUAUAAAGCAUUACAAAAAUGUCAAUCACUAAUGCUCAAUUACAUAGAAGACAGGGUAGUUAUUAUGAGAGAAUAACUGAAGAAUAGAGAAAGAGAGAAACUUAUUUUGCUAUUUAAGUGAUCUGGAGAAAUCUACUUGUCAGUUUCUGCUAAUGGGAACUCAUUACUUCCACAGGAAGCAAUUUCCAUUUUUAGGCAGCUCUAAUCAUCAGGAAUUUUAUUUUCUUCUAUGGAACUGAAAUCUUUCUUCUUGUAAUUCCUUCCAUUAUUCCUUAUUCUGGACUGUGGAACUAAGGAAAACAAUUUUAAUCCAUCUUCCACAAUAGAGACCUUUAGCUGCCUGAAUAUAACUAAUAUGACUCUCCUUAAUCGUCUUUUCUCCAGUUUAAGUACUAUUAGUUUUUUUUUAUUGAUUCUCAUAUUGUAUAACUUUGAAGUCCUUUAACAUUCUGAACCACUUUCUAUGGAAGCUUAUUUUUGUCCUUUCUAUAAGAUGGCACCCUAAACUGUACUCCCCAAAUGCUUGGACCUGGGCAUCAUACAAUAGGACAAUCACUAACUUCUACAAUAUCAAAGGCCAUUUUACAUUAAUUAAGGAGCCUAACCUUGAUUCACUAUUUUUGGCUCCCAUAUUAGACUUUUGAUAAAUGUUGAGCUUGAAGUCUAUAAAAAAUUCCAGCUCUGUGCUCAAGAUGACCUUGAGGCAGAGCCCUACUGAGGUGGAAUGCGAUCAUUGACUCUGUAAAUGUGGCAGAGAAGAUGGCUUAGGAAACGAUCAGGAAGGAGUAUCAGGUGCUACUCAUUCAGGGAAUGUCAAUAUUAAUUAGGAUGCCUUCUAUUUAUUUGGCAUUUUGUUCCAUGAAGUUUAAAGUCUUUUAAAGACAUUAUAUCUUACAUGCUAACAACAUUUUUGUGGGCUGAUUAUAAAAUAUAUUACUGUAGGCAACAUACAUAUAGUGAUCAAGAAAACUCUUUAAUCUGGAUUAGCAAAAUAUUUCUUCUUAGUGAGUAGAGAAUUACCCAUUUAAUAUUUUGACCUCAAACCAAUAUUUCAAUAUUAAGAGGAUUCUGUACAAAUUAAUAUAAAAUUUAAUCUGUUUCAUAAAUGAAAUAAAAUUUAAAGACAAUAUAAAUUUUACCAAAGAAUCAAUUGGAAUGGAAACUUUAUAAUCAUGUGCCUAGAUCUAAAAAUUCUAGUUCUGAUUCUGCAUAGCAAUAUCUGAAAGAGGUCAUGUCAUUAAGGUGUAUUUCAUAUUGAAACAUUUAUUUUUGUAAAUUUCCCAGUAGAUAUUUUAGCACUUUUGCCUUUUAUUAUUGAAUUAAAUCAAAUUGUUGAACUUUGUAUGAAUAGAGAAAAAUAGAGACAUUGGGAUAAUCAUGUAAUUUAAUUUGCUGGAAAUUGAGCUAUAUUCUGAUGAAAAUAUUUAUAAUUUGCAUGACUUUUUUUUUGUAUAGUCUUCUCCCAGUCUUCACUUGUAGUUAGAUGGAGAUGUUUACUUAUCUUUUAGACAGAGUUGUGAAUGCUUCUGACUCUAAUCUGUAGUUUAUUCUUAAAAUCUAUUUUAGAGAGGAAUAUCAGGGAGAAAAUCAUUCUUAUCAUUGAAUCAAUUCUCCUUAUUGAAUUUUUACUUAAAUAGAACUUUCUCAUUCUUGUUUUCUUAUCUUUACCUUAUAAACCCUUCUUCCUUUUCCUCUCUACCUUUCAGUGUAGUUUUUUCUUUACACUGUGAAGUGAGUUCUCAAUAAUAUUGUGUGUAUUAUCUAUAGCCAAUUUUAAAUACUCAAUUAUCAUCUUUUUUCCACUUAGGAUGUUUUUUUUUGACACCUCUUCUUUCAUGGUUAAGAUGAAAUUUACUUGAAGAAUGCAAAUUUUAAUAAGAACAAGCCAUUAUAUAGUGCUUGAGAGUUUACAGAGUGCUUUACAAAUAUUAUCUCAUUAGAUUCUUGAAACAGCCUUGGGAGAUAGCAGAUAUUUUUAUUCCCAUUUAAAAGAUGAAGGAAUUGAGGUAGGCAGAGGCUAAUUUGUUGACCCAAGCUAAUAAGUGCCUAAGACGGGAUUCAAACCCAAGUCUUCCUGACUCUAGGUCCAAUACACAGCCUCUCAUCUGCCUAUGGAUUAGUUUUUAUGAACACUUUAACCAGAACAUGAUUAUUCAGUUUUCUAGCAAAAAUUAAAAAAAAAAUAUUUCAAGGUAAUUACUUUUCACUGGUCAAACAAUAAAUAUGAAUUCAACAAUUCAUUUUAAUCAACCAAUUAAGCACUUAAGAUGUUCAGAACAAUUCAAGUCAACAAGAAUCUAUUAAGCACUUACUAUGUACCUGGCAAUGCAAUAAGUGCUGUGGGCACAAAUAGAAAAGAAGAAUAGCUCCUCUAUUUAAGGAACUUAUGUUUUUAGAAACCCUUACCUACUUUCUGCCUUAGAAUAAAUACUAUGUAUCAGCUCCAAAACAGAAGAGCUAUAAGGUAUAGGCAAUUGGAGUUAAGUGACUUGCCUAGAGUCUCCCAGCUAGGAAGUAUCUGAGGCUAUAUUUGAAUCAAGGUCCUCCCAACUUCAGGCUUGGCACUAUCCAGUGAGCCACUAGCCACCCAAGGGACUUACAUUUUAAUUGGAGAAAACACAUAAGUGGAAGCUCAAAAGCGAGGGAGAAGAAGUGCUUAUGCUGGAGUGGUGGCAAAAUUCAGAGAGUCAAAAGCGGAGCCAGGAAAGGAUGAGAAAUGAUAAGACUGGGAUCUUCCUCCAAAUGGAAAUUCCAGGAGGAAUUUGCCAUUGGCAGAGAAGAGAGGUCCUGGCUGGGGGGAUAUUCCAAUGUGAGAAGACCAUAGGAAUAAGGACACUUUCAAGGUAAGAUGACAGCCCACAUAUCAAGUUAUUUGCCAACUUUGUUUCUAUGCCCACAUCUCUUAUAUAUAUCCCCUUCUCAUUCAUGCCAACUUUCCCAAGGCACCAAGUUGGUUUUUGGUUGAUUGCAUGUUUCACUUAAAUCAGCUAAGGGAACAUUUUUAUACUUUCCUCUGUAAUGAAUGUACUUUCCUUUGCUCUGUAUGUGGAUUCUUAUCUAUAAAAUGGUCAUCUCUAUUGAUGGUUGAAUGGCUUGUGCAUAUCAUGAUCUUAUUGGAAAAAAACCAAAACAUUGAAGAAAACCAACAACCCAUAGAUGUAUGAACAAUGUCCACAUGAGGGCACACUAACUGUCAAGUAACAAUUGUUUUGAGUUCUCCUGUUACUGGGUCAUGUGAUCUAAACACACGUGUAUGUUAGUUUUGGACCACUUUUUGGGCCAUUGCAGAGAGUAACAUUAGUGCCAGUCCUACCCCCAAGGGAAGCUAGAAAAUGAUUGCCCUGAUGGAAUAGUCAAUAAUGAGAUCUUUCUUUGGUGUGCCAAGCUAUGCCAUUCAGUAGAUUAUAAGAGUAUUCUUCCUUUCACAUACAUUCAGGUUCUUCACUUUUUAUGAUUUCCACAGAGAAAAGAAAGCACAGCUUUCUGUAGGGUUUUAGCGAAGUACUGUGUCUGACCUCUUUCAUUUCUGGCCAAGCUUCUAUGUAAAAUUAUUUGAAAGGAUAUAUGGUAUCGCUAGAGGCUUCUUUAAAAUUCUUCCCUGUUCUGGUAAAGGAAUAGGUUCUUUCUCACAUGCCAAGAAACAUGUUGAGCCAGAUUAUAUCAGUCCCCAAGACACUCCCUAGUUUUGGGUUGGCACCCUUUGGAAGCAGCAUGCACUCUUCCAAUUCACUAGAGUAUGGAUUAGUAAAUAGUUGGCAUCCCACUCUCUGCUGACUCCUUGAUGGCAGAAAAUCUUGAUUCUUAAUAUCUUCACUGUAUAAGAAGUGGGAAGCCACAUCUACUUUUCUGGAAGAAGAUAGAAACCCUCCGAGGAAGACUCUGGUUCAUUGAGUAGAUUUUCAUUCAACUAUUUCAUGCCUACUUUCAUGUCUAAGUGGAAGAAGUUCCACAUGUUGGCAUCAUCCCUUACCAGUUCAAUAUGCUAGCUUAGGACAAUAUUACCUGUAGUCAUGACAAAGGUGUUGCCUUCUGGUGUUAUCCUUUUCCAUCUAAACACUCAGUUUGGCAAUUGUUUUGAAUGCAUCAGACCGGAAGAUUUUAGUGUUUUCUUUUAAAGAUGAAAUCAUCCAUGACAAAACAAUCAGAAUUCUGCCAGAUUUCCAAAAGUGAAUAUAAAAUAAAGUAUCUGAUGAAAUCUAUUCAUGUGCACAGUAAGUUAUGUCUGUGGCUCUUCAGAUCAGGGAAUAUUAAACAAAAUUUUGAUUCAGCUAAAUGAGUAGGUUGUGUAUGUAUUAUUUUGUUUAAUACAUAAUUUUUUAUUCAAGCUUUUUAGGAUCCUUCACAAUCAUAAUCUCACUGAAUUCUGUGGCUAACAAUGAAAUGAUGGGAUCAGAACUCCCUCUGUAAGGAUCUUUAUGGUAGUGAUGACUUCCAAACUUUACAAUUGCAUCUCUUAGUACCAUGUUGUACACAGUAACAUAAUAUAGGCAGAGGCGAUUGGAUGGUGAGAUGAAAGGAGGCAGCUUGUAUAGAGAGGAGAAAUGAGCCACCACAAGGGCAAUGAAGACUGGGAAAUCGACUCAAGGUUUAUCCCAAUUGGUCACUAGCACAGGCUGGAAUACUCUACCUAACCAAGGUGUGACCAGUUGGCUUCAGUAUGACAUUUUCUCUGUGCUCUAUGUUUGCCUGGCAUGGCAAAUUUCUUUCUACAUAGACUGUUUCUGUAUUGGGGGAAGGCAGACAUCUCUGAGACCUAGUGCUGGUAUCUGAGAAGGAAGUGGGGGAUUUCCCCCUACUAUUGGCAUGAUAUGAGUUUGUUGUGGAUGACAACAAUGGACAGAAUUAUGAACACUGGAAAAAAGAGGAUAGUGCCAGAAGGAAAUGUAAGCUCUCCCAUUAUUAGAAUUUUCUGGGCAGGCCCUUGAGUUUCAUAUUAUCCUCCUAUGGGGCAACAAGAGAAAGAAUCAUUACCCCAUUUUUAACAGAUUGGCAAAGUAGGAGAAAGAGAAGUUGAGACUUGUUUUGGGGUCACAGCUGUCCUGUCAGAACUAGAACCCAGAAUUCCUCAGGAUUGCUGUUUGUAAAUUGAUUCAUCCCAGAGAAAUUCUUUAGCCUCACCACCCUCUCUCCCUCCUCCCAACAAAGAAUUCCCAAAAUAAAAAGAAACACCCCACAUCAUGCACUUAAAUUAGGCCUAUUUCAGGCAGAGUGGUUAAUCCAACCCUGAGGUGGAAUAAUAACUUCUCAGCCUCCUUCUCUGAUGUGUAGCUGAUAUGGAAUUGAGUGCCAACAUAUGUUUGUACAAAUAUAUUGAGGAAUAUAAGCAGUCUACUGCUAAUUACUACACCCAAAGCCUCAUGUGAAGUUUGAAAGCUGCCUGAAGGAAUUUGCUUCCAUGAAUUUUUUUUUUUUAAGCUAGAAAAAGUGAAGUAACUUCUUUUGUGUUUGGGACUGGAAGAAUUUCAAACAUUACCUACUUAAAUUUUACUAAUAAUUUAAUUAUUCAAGAGGUGGAGGUUAUCCUCAUUUAUUAGAAAACAUAUAAAAUAUAAAAACAUUUUUAAACAUUGUAGAGAAAGAGAAGACCACACAUCUAAAAUUGUGCUUUUCUACAUUAAUUUUAUGAAUGCAAAUUAGAAGAAUACCCUUUACUUUUAUUUUACCUAUACUUGUAAA